CCUACGGGGGGCAGCAGUGGGGAAUAUUGGACAAUGGGGGCAACCCUGAUCCAGCCAUGCCGCGUGUGUGAAGAAGGCCCUCGGGUUGUAAAGCACUUUCAGUGAGGAAGAACGCCUGGUGGUUAAUACCCAUCAGGAAAGACAUCACUCACAGAAGAAGCACCGGCUAACUCCGUGCCAGCAGCCGCGGUAAUACGGAGGGUGCGAGCGUUAAUCGGAAUUACUGGGCGUAAAGCGCGCGUAGGUGGCUUGAUAAGCCGGUUGUGAAAGCCCCGGGCUCAACCUGGGAACGGCAUCCGGAACUGUCAAGCUAGAGUGCAGGAGAGGAAGGUAGAAUUCCCGGUGUAGCGGUGAAAUGCGUAGAGAUCGGGAGGAAUACCAGUGGCGAAGGCGGCCUUCUGGACUGACACUGACACUGAGGUGCGAAAGCGUGGGUAGCAAACAGGAUUAGAUACCCCGUAGUC
rnacentral:rRNA from 1 species